CAUUCUCGAUUUACAGUUUUAAGUGGAAUCAAGUUAUUUAGUUUAUUGAAGAGGCAAUAUGCCUUCUUUGACAGUUAAUAUCAAUAUUUCUAGAAAUGAAAACCAGCAAGGUAAGCUUUUUCAGUGACUUAUAAUAAGAUUAAUAAUACUAUGAGCUGUUAAGUUCAAACUUGUUUAAUAAACUUCUUAAAAUUAGCUUUUUCUAUACAAAUAAGCAGUUAUUAUUUUACAGAGAUCGUGAUUAAUGAAAGUUUAACAAUAGUCCUAUUACAUAAUAAGUGUUAAGUGCGAAAGAUUGUUCAAAAGUGGGCGGUAAUUGGUUUCUAUUUUCGCAUCUGAUUAGAAGAUAACGAGGGAAUUAACAAAAAUUUAGCACUGAAAAAUAACAUUAUCUAAGGAGUCUUAGCCUUUAUUUUAAACAAUAAUUGUUUACUGAAAAACACACACAGUUCCUCUUACGUAAUCAAAAUAAAACAAGAGGGAAUUAUAUAUAGUUUUUAUCUAUUUUUAUGCUGUAUAAAUAUUCAUUAGUCAAUUUCAAAUUGAAUAAUUGUUAAAGCGUUACGAAUUUCUGUUAUAAACGGUUCAUUUAACGCCUUCUCAUCUUUCGGAUAGUAGCGUGAAUCUAAACCUUUACCUAAUUCUAUCUUGGACUUUACUACUGUAAGCUUUGAACAAAUACAAAUGUUUUAAAAAUAGAAUUUUAAUCAAUUUUCAUAAGUAAUAAGUAUUAAAAGUUCAUUAUAUUAUCGAUUCUGGACCUAGCUUUUGGUUAUUUGAGAAGCGAUUGGGAGAAAAUGCACAAAGGUAGUUUCUUAUUGAUCUUUAACGUGGAAUAGCUGGGUUUUUUUCGUCGUUUUUAUUUCAGCUAAAUAUCUUUUUAUGCUCUUAAACUUAAAAAUUAAUAGGAAUAGGACACAGUAUUUAAUUGAAAAUUCACCUGCGGCGAUAACCAUGAAGAAAAGUAGGACAAAGUAUUUAUAAUAUCAAAGAAUCAUUUUUUUUCUCCAGAAAAAGCUCCACUCAACCGAUUCGAGGGUGAAGGAGUAGACUUCAAAGCAAAGUUAAUUGGUCAUGAAGAAGUAGCCGAACCAAGAGGGGAUAAAAUUUGUGUAGAUACCAUGAACAAACUAAAGUUUAUAGCCCAGCAGAACCUUAGAGGCUCCGGCAUUCAUAAACCACGAAUAAUUUUAAACAUAAACCUGACUGGAUUACAGAUACUGGACGAAAAGUCAAGGGCUGUUUUACAUCAGCAUCACGUCCACAGAAUAUCCUUCAUAUCUCGUGACCCAAAUGACGCAAGAGCUUUUGGUUAUAUCUACGGGAAAGAUGAUGGUAAACACGAAUAUUUUGGAAUAAAGACUAUGCAAGCGGCCGAUCAAGUUGUGACUGCUCUAAAAGAUUUAUUCCAAGUGGUUUAUGAAUUGAAAAAGAAAGAGAUUGAAGGCACAGAAGAGACAGCUGAAUCCAAGGAAGAGGAAGAAGCUAGUGUAAAAACCAACAAAACUGAUUCAGAAAGCGGAGGAGCCAGUGGAACUGCUGAUUUGCCCCAAAAGCCUGAAGAGAAGAAAGAAGACAACCUUUUAGACAUGUUUGGAGGUCUUGGAUUAAGCAAAGAAUCUCCAACCUCGGCCCCUGAACCGUGGAAUACUCCAACUCCCCAAUCCAAUCCCUCAGCACAUCCAGCCUUUCCCGUGUCCUUUGAUGAUGAUAAGCAGCAAGCAGCAAUACAGCAGCAACAGACUCAACAGCCACAGCAGCCACAACAGCAACAAAAACAACAAAAUUUGGACCAAGGAAUGCCUACGUUCAAGAAUCCCCCGCCGUUUGAAAAUCUGGAUGAAGACGCUGGAGGUUCUGCUCUUGCAUUCAAACCAGUUGAUUUACCGACCUUUAAUGACCCGUUUAAAACCACAAACCCACCUAUCCCUUCAAAAGGGACGGGAAUUAGUUCCCAGCCUAUAUUUUCGGCCUCUAGCGAUUCGGCUUUUAACGCCUUUCCAGCGCCCACGACUAACAGCAUGAUAGGUAGCAUGAACACAACAAACGCAAUGCCCUUUAAUUCUAAUCCAGCUAGCGGUACUAUGAAUAACAUGAAUAACUUUGGAUUCGGUAACGCACCUGCAUUCGGAGGUCCACCAGCUUUUAACAACACAAGUUUUAUGCAAAUGAAUAACCAUCAGCCGUUUCCAGUUCAGCAAAGCGGUCCCCCACCAGUACCACAACGUAAUACUACUCAGCCAGAAAAUGUAUUACAACCAACAGUUGGAGCUAUUUCGGAUCCAUUUUCUUCUUUAGAUCCCCUCGGAAAGCCGGAGAAGACUAUGUUUAAGAAGAAUUCGCCAAGUAUCAAUGAUAUGCAAACUAGCACUGCGCCAUUGGCUCAAAACUCGAAUCCUUUCGCCUGAACGACUUCAAAAAAAAUUUUACUUCAUAUCUUUACUGAUGAUUUAAUAAAUUAACAAUGUAACUUUUAAUAAUUAAAAGAAUUUUCACUGUUACUUUGCAUGCAGAAUUCAAAUAAACAACUCACUAU
rnacentral:misc_RNA from 1 species